AAAAGAUGAAGCUGACCGUCGCCCUCGCAGUCAUCGCCGCCGCCGGAAGCGGCGCCUCCGCCUUCUCAGUGGGCGGCGCGGCU
rnacentral:ribozyme from 1 species